AGGUCCCGCCUGCCCUGUGACUAUAAGUUUAACGGCCGCGGUAUUUUGACCGUGCGAAGGUAGCGCAAUCACUUGUCUUUUAAAUGAAGACCUGUAUGAAUGGCACCACGAGGGCUUAGCUGUCUCCUUUUUCAAGUCAAUGAAAUUGAUCUCCCCGUGCAGAAGCGGGGAUAUAUACAUAAGACGAGAAGACCCUAUGGAGCUUUAGACGCCAAGACAGAUCAUGUUAAACACCCCUGGAUAAAGGGUUAAACCAAAUGAGCCCUGUCCUAAUGUCUUUGGUUGGGGCGACCGCGGGGAAACAUAAAACCCCCACGUGGAAUGGGAGCACCACCUCCUACAGCUAAGAGCUCCCGCUCUAGCAAACAGAAAUUCUGACCAAUAAGAUCCGGCAACGCCGAUCAACGGACCGAGUUACCCUAGGGAUAACAGCGCAAUCCCCUUUUAGAGCCCAUAUCGACAAGGGGGUUUACGACCUCGAUGUUGGAUCAGGACAUCCUAAUGGUGCAGCCGC
rnacentral:rRNA from 1 species